AGCAAUAUAGCUCAGUGGUACAGUGCUUGCCUAGCAUGCCGAAGGCCCUGAGUUCAAUUCCCAGCUACGCAC
rnacentral:tRNA from 1 species